GUAUAUCACCGAUGCUUUUCCCCCUAUACAAUAUUUGUUUGAAUUGCAAAAUAUAUCUCAAUGUUGAUUUAAUUCAACUUAAGCAAUGUAUACAGGGGUCGAAAUUAACUUUUUCUACCACAGGCUAAUUUUAGCCUGUGGGUAAAAAAUCCACAGGCUAAAAUUAAAACUUACAAGCUAAAAUGAAAAUAAUGAAGCAGUGCUCUUUUUAUAUAUAUAUUUUUUUCAAUCAAUGAUUUUCCCCAUCCUUACUGAGCCUAGUGGGUCAACAGGCAGCGCUUGGACAAGACACUAAGUUACGUAAGUCAUAUGGUGCAAUGUUUAGGUCUCUUGAUUAUCGCACCUCUAACAGUUUAAUCCACGACUUGUUUACCGCAGGUCUAGAUCCAGUCUUCCAAUUUCAUGCCACAUCAGGGUUGUCACUAGUGAUUUUUUAAAGCGAAUACAGGACUCAUGGUUUUAUAAGCAGCACGAUCACGAGUCCUAUGACUUUUUUGAUAAUCGUCUACGUGGUGAGAAAUGCACCCGUGUUGUCACUACAACCCGACCUCAAUAUGACAAUAAAUUUAGAUAUGACAUUCUCAUGAUUCUGAUAAAAAUAACUACCGGAAGACUUGGUAAAACAUAGAUUCCGAUAUUUUUUGUAGAUAAAUGAAUAACGAAAACAUCAUACUUGGAAUUAUUCAAUUUAAUCACCCCUAUAGGUGAACAGGACUCGUGGCACAUGUCGAUAUGCGAUGUCCGAUCUCUAAAGCAUUUGUUUGACUCCGAGUUUCUUAAAAAAUUAUAAAAGAAAAAUCCGGAUAAAAACGGUUAUUGAAAUCGGUCGUUCAUGAAAGCGUUUGUAUGAUUCAGAGUGCAAGUUUGAGAAAAGCGAAUAGCGCAUCACCGUAUAAAACGGAUACGAUACGAUCAUAGUUUGUAAAUCACCACUUGCUAAGAUUUUCGAGUGUCCAUUAUUUUUACUCGCUAUUUUUCAAAUGUACUCGCAUUUUGCGAGUAUUUCUCGCUAAUUUCGAGCCCUGGUAUAUAUAUAAUGAUUAGGAAGUAAUGGUUGAUCACAUUCUUCUAAAUGAAAGAAAAAUAACGAGUUACCUUCCUUAGAUUAACACAAAUUCUAAUAUCAAGACUUUAUGUGCUUUUUUCUUCAGAGACGGUAUUUUACACAUUGAAUCAAUCCCUAAUCUUUCAAUUUAACUUUUAAAAAAUUAUUCAAAGGGGAAUUUCAUUAGUUCUAAUUGGCAUUUCAGAAUUUCUGGAGGCAUUUCGGUAAAUCACGGGCAUUUCGGUAAUUCGAGGUACCGCGAAGCAAGGAUUUAAUGUAUCAAAAAUUGUUGGAUCAACAUCAUUGAACAUGAAAUUGUGUUGAGUUUAUACGAAUAAUGUUUUAGUUCAACAACAAUGCUACCAAGUUUUAGUUACAUAAUACAUGCAUGGCAACCAAGACUCUAGACAAAUUUGUAAAAAACAAUGGACAUAUUCCAAGACCUGGAAAACAAACACCCACAAAACAAGUAACAUAUCAGAAUAACAAAAUGAUAAAUGAGCCAUACACAAACUAGUCCAUGAAGUUAAAACUGUACUUUUUAGUUUCUGACAGUUCUGCAAGUAAUUCGCUGUAAUAGGGUUAAUUCAUCAAAAGAACACAAAAUAUAAAAACAGUUUUAAUAUUCAAUAUAUUUUUAGCAAAAAAAAACCCCUACCGACCAACCCAAUAUUUUUUAUGACCAUCGGCCUAUGGCAAACCAACAUUUUUUUAAAUGUGGCCUAAAUAUGAAGCCCUUCACCGGUCUUGGUGACGUCUCCACAUGAGUGAAAAAUUCUCGAGCCAGACGUUAAGCAAGAUACAAUCAAUCAAUCAAUCAAAAAGUUGGGCAAACUCCAAGGUCAAGGUGACAGGGUCAAAAAUGUUGGUACCCAUAAAAAGGUCGUUACAAGAAAUACUCAUAUGAAAUAUCAAAGCUUUAGCUCUUACUGUUCAAAAGUUAUUGGCAAGGUAAAGUUCUUAAAAAGUAGGUCAAACUCCAAGGUGAAGGUCACAGGGUAAAAAAAUUGUUGGUACCCAUGGAAAGGUCUUGUCACAAGCAGUGAUUGGGAAGGCCAUGCGCCCUGCUCCCAUUCAGGUGAAAAUUGGCGCCUUAAAUUAUGUAAUCCAUGCACCAAAGUGCGCAUUCAUUAUCGAUUGUAACUUACGUUUUUUUUCUUCUCUAGAAUGAAUUGGGUACGACUUACUUAUUUUUUGUACUUUCAUUUUUAAUUCCUAUGUAUUCUGAUACACUGAAUCUCAUUGGUUGAAGCAAUAACAAAUCAAAAUAGAUAACCAAUAAACUAUUUCCUCUUACUUAACAUCUCAUCACGUUUACUCAUGCUUAUACUGCAGCGUUUAAGUUUCGGAAGUCCAAGGACAGAUAAAAAAAACAACAGAAAGCGGGGAAAAAACAACAACCAAAUAAUGAAAAAAAAACAACAACAAGAGACCAUCUUCAAAUACCAAUACCGAUAAAAGCAAUGAUACCGUUGAGAAGGGGACAUCGAAACAAAGUAGAAACAUUUUCAAGAGCGGUGGAAAAGAUCGUGGUCAUGGUUCAGAGUUUCAAUUAAAACAAUGUUCCACUGCACAUUUGCUAUUUAUUAAAAUAUGCAUUAAAUCUGAAAAUAGCCCAUUAAAAACUUGAACCGUGGGGCCAUAGUCCCAUAGGCCAUUUUGGCCUUCCCAAUCACUGCACAAGGAAUACUCAUGUGAAAUAGCAAAGCUCUAGCACUUACUGUUCAAAAGCUAUUAGCAAGGUUAAAGUCUCAGACAGAAUGACAAGACAGGACAAAAACAAUAUGUUUCAUGACGUUAUGGUAUCGGGCUUUGUUAGUGGUUAUGGGAAUUUCAUACUAAAAUUCUGCUGGCUUAAAAAAAACUUUUUACCUACCUACCGACCAUCCUCUGAAAUUUAGGGUCGGGAGAGGGGAAGCCAACAUAUUUUUAAAUAUGGCCCAAUAUAAUAUAUGUAUUAACAUAAAACAAUAUGACUAAUUUGGACCCAUCUUCGAGUCAAAACCCAAGGUUGUGUAAUUCACCAUUUUUUUUGUACACCCUUUUCUGCUUUAUCUAAAUAUCCAUUUAAAUUUUAUACUGUAUCAGCAAACUUAAAGAAGUCCUUCAAAUCAUUAUAAUACUUUUGACACCACCCUGAAACCAUGGCCUUACCCCCCUAGGAUCAUGAAAUUUAUAAUUUUGGUAAAGGAAUACCUACUCCUUUAAAAUAUCCAUUUAGUUUCAAUUUAGUAAUAGUAUCAAUAGCACUAAAGCAGAUAUCAUUUAUACAUACAUGCCAACUUUCCCGAUUUAGGCGGGAUCUUCCCGAUUUUACCCUCCGGUCCCGCUUUCCCGAUCGGGAAAGCAAAAUUACCCUAAAAUCCCAAUUUGAAAUUUUUUCCGACCAAAAUUUCCGAUUUCACGAUUGAAAACGAGUUUGAAAGCGGGAUAAUCGUGAAAUCUUGUGACCAGAAUUGGAAAUCCCGCGUCAUUUCUGAACUGGCCAAUCAGAAAUCAGGACAAUAGUCAGCCAUUGCUGUUUACCUGUGUCGCAUGGUGUCGGGUUGGUCUGCCUGUGUCGGGGUGUUUAUUGGACAGUACGAAGCAUGUUUUGAUAGUAAUUAAUCGGGAAGACGGAUUUCAAAUUGACCUAUCCUUUACACAAACAUGAAUGACAACGAUGCUAGUGUCACCACCAAACAAUCGGACAUUCCGCCUCUCGCUGACAGCAUCCAAAAUUUGCAAUAAGAUGUCAUGGGUGCAAAGGUUUUGUUCGCAAACUUCAUAGCAGGGCAGAUCACUCCUUUUUUGGUUGCAAUGCAGAUUAUUCCACCAGUCUCUGCAAGCCCAUGUUUACAGACAAGCAAGAUCGCCUUUGCAGUCGUACCUAAAUGCAUGUGCUUUAAUUUAAAUUUUGAUAUAUAGACCGGCCAAUGUUUAUUGUAUGGUGUAAAAGGAUGCAACCUUAAAUAUUAUUUGAUAUUAUGUAUGUGACUUGUUGGAGAAGAUUUUUUGCUGAAUAGAUGAUUUUAAUAAAAUAUUAAUGUAUA